UACAGAGGUCCCGAGCGUUGUUCGGAUUCACUGGGCGUAAAGGGUGUGUAGGUGGCCAGGUAAGUCUGACGUGAAAUCUCCGAGCCUAACUCGGAAACUGCAUCGGAUACUAUCUGGCUUGAGGGUUGGAGGGGGGACUGGAAUACUUGGUGUAGCAGUGAAAUGCGUAGAUAUCAAGUGGAACACCAGUGGCGAAGGCGAGUCCCUGGACAACUCCUGACACUGAGGCACGAAAGCUAGGGGAGCAAACAGG
rnacentral:rRNA from 1 species